AACAAACGCUGGCGGCGUGCCUAAUACAUGCAAGUCGAACGGGGAAAGCUUUCGGGUGAGUACUAGUGGCGCACGGGUGAGUAACGCGUGGAUAAUCUGCCUUAGAGUGGGGGAUAACUAGUCGAAAGAUUAGCUAAUACCGCAUAAGACCACAGGAACCGAGGUUCUAGAGGUCAAAGGUUUUUCGCUCUAAGAUGAGUCCGCGUAAGAUUAGCUAGUUGGUGAGGUAACGGCUCACCAAGGCAACGAUCUUUAACUGGUCUGAGAGGAUGAUCAGUCACACUGGAACUGAGACACGGUCCAGACUCCUACGGGAGGCAGCAGUAGGGAAUAUUGCACAAUGGAGGAAACUCUGAUGCAGCGACGCCGCGUGAGUGAUGAAGGCCUUCGGGUCGUAAAGCUCUGUCGCAGGGGAAUAACACAAUGAAUGUACCCUGUAAGAAAGGAUCGGCUAACUUCGUGCCAGCCGCCGCCGUAACAC
rnacentral:rRNA from 1 species